AGAGUUUGAUCCUGGCUCAGGAUGAACGCUAGCUACAGGCUUAACACAUGCAAGUCGAGGGGCAGCAUGAAGUUUGCUUGCAAACUUUGAUGGCGACCGGCGCACGGGUGAGUAACGCGUAUCCAACCUGGCCCUUAGUAGGGGAUAGCCCGGCGAAAGUCGGAUUAAUACCCUAUGUUCUUCGUCGAGGACAUCUGAAAUGAAGCAAAGGUUUACCGCUAAGGGAUGGGGAUGCGUCUGAUUAGGUAGUCGGCGGGGUAACGGCCCACCUGGCCUACGAUCGGUAGGGGUUCUGAGAGGAAGGUCCCCCACAUUGGAACUGAGACACGGUCCAAACUCCUACGGGAGGCAGCAGUGAGGAAUAUUGGUCAAUGGACGGAAGUCUGAACCAGCCAAGUAGCGUGCAGGAAGACGGCCCUAUGGGUUGUAAACUGCUUUUAUGCGGGGAUAAACUGGCCUACGCGUAGGCCAUUGCAGGUACCGCAUGAAUAAGGACCGGCUAAUUCCAUGCC
rnacentral:rRNA from 1 species